AUGCAGAGUAUAACCGCAAGUGGACUCCUAGUAUUCGUCAGUUUCAUGAUGGACCAAGGAGAACCAGGCAAAGAUCUGCCGAUAUUGGAGCAGACGCGGGAGGCUGAUCCCCACGAGAUAGAGAGCUCCAAGAAGAUGGAGGCAACCACCGAGGCGACCCCAGAUAUUGAGAUGGUCAACGCCCCGUUUGAGGUUACAGCCCCCGUGGCACUGAAGGAGCAGUUUUCCCUCUUUGAGGAUGUGUCCCCCCCGGCUGAGCUGACCAAGAGCCCUGAUGUAGACAAGGAUUGUGUGGUUGUACAUGUCAUUUGCUAUGAGGCGGACGACCUGAAUAUACGCACUGGAAAAACAGAGUUCUUAGGCUGUUGGAUCCUGGUAGCCAUUUGCGGUUAUACCAAUGAAGAGUUGUAUUCCAGCCUCACUGUUGUCAGGCGUGUUGUCCAGGGUGUACUGAAGCACAAGAAGUUCAAAGCUACUCCUUCGUUUGUGAGGAAUACUGUUCUUGUCAAGCUUACACAGGAAGAUGACGUGGCAUGCCUCCACAAACAAGUUUAUCAGUGGCAAGGCCACAAGGUUGUCUUCAUGAAGGUUCACAGGAUUGAGCUGCUGCGGGACGUCCUCGAUGAUGUUCAUGGCAAGGUCCGUCUUGUGUCCAUCCCAAAUUAG
rnacentral:rRNA from 1 species